rnacentral:rRNA from 1 species
UCAAGCUAUAAAGAGCGUAGGGAGAAUGACUUGGCAUCAGGAGCCGAAGAAGGACGUGACAAGCUGCGAAAAGCUGCGGUUAGGAGCAAAUAUCCAUAGACCCGCAGAUAUCCGAAUGGGGAAACCCGGUACGGCAAUACCGUAUCACUGCAUGGUAAAUACAUAGCCAUGUGGAGGAAACCCUCUGAACUGAAACAUCUAAGUAGGAGGAGGAAGAGAAAGAAACAUCGAUUUCCUAAGUAGCGGCGAGCGAAAGGGAAAGAGGCCAAACCAGAGAUAGCAAUAUCUUUGGGGUUGCGGACUGCAAAAUUGAUUCAAUAUUUUUAGCAGAAGUGUAUGGGAAGACACACCAUAGUAGGUAAUAGUCCUGUAAGCGAAAAGGAUAUUGACAAGGCAGGAUCCAGAGUACCACCGGACACGAGGAACCCGGUGGGAAGCCGGGGGGACCACCCCCCAAGCCUAAAUACUACCUGAUGACCGAUAGUGAAAAGUACAGUGAUGGAAAGUUGAAAAGAACCCCGGAAGGGGAGUGAAAAAGAAUCUGAAACCCUAUGUUUACAAGCUGCUAAAGCACCAUAUGAGUGCGAUAGCGUACUUUUUGUAGAACGGUCCGGCGAGUGUAUGUUGCAAGCGAGGUUAAGGUGUUAAGCACUGAAGCCGAAGGGAGACCGAGUGUGAAUAGCGCGUACAGUUUGCAGUAUACGACCCGAAACCGGGUGACCUAACCAUGGACAGGUUGAAGUGGAAGUAAAAUUCCAUGGAGGACCGAACCCACGUCUGUUGAAAAAGGCGGGGAUGAGCUGUGGUUAGCGGUGAAAUUCCAAUCGAACUCGGAUAUAGCUGGUUCUCAUCGAAAUAGCUUUAGGGCUAGCCUCAGGAUAGUUUAGCGGAGGUAAAGCACUGAAUGGGCUAGGGGGCUUCACGGCUUACCGAACCCUAUCAAACUCUGAAUGCCGCAUAAAUGUUUCCUGGGAGUCAGACUGCGUGAGAUAAGUUUCGUAGUCAAAAGGGAAAGAGCCCAGACCUACAGCUAAGGUCCCUAAAUGAAUUUAAGUGGAAAAGGAUGUGCAGUUGCGUAGACAACUAGGACGUUGGCUUAGAAGCAGCCACUCAUUUAAAGAGUGCGUAAUAGCUCACUAGUCGAGUGAUUGUGCGCCGAAAAUGUAACGGGGCUAAAAUUCAUACCGAAGCUUAGGAAUGAUAGUAAUAUUGUUGGUAGAUGAGCGUUGUGUAAGUCUGCGAAGCUACACCGAAAGGAGUAGUGGAGAUAUCACAAGUGAGAAUGCCGGAAUGAGUAGCGAGAAUUAUGUGAGAAUCAUAAUGGUCGAAAAUCUAAGGUUUCUUGAGGAAGGUUCGUCCGCUCAAGGUAAGCCGGGAGCUAAGGCGAGGCCGAGAGGCGUAGUCGAUGCACAUACGGUAAAGAUUCCGUAGCCACCGAAGUCGUUAAAUACAGGGACACAGGAACAUAGCCUAACCCCACCGUUGGUUGAGUGGGGCGUAAGGGAGCGAAAAUUAGUAGCGAAGUAGGUGAUUGUACACUGGCGAGAAAAGCUGUAUGGAUUGACAAGGUGCCCGUACCGCAAACCGACACAGGUAGAUGAGGAGAGAAUCCUAAGACCAGCGGGAGAAGUGUUGUUAAGGAACUCGGCAAAAUGACCCCGUAACUUCGGGAUAAGGGGAGCCUACGCGAGUAGGCCGCAGAGAAUAGUCUCAAGCGACUGUUUAGCAAAAACACAGGUCUAUGCUAAAUCGAAAGAUGAUGUAUAUGGGCUGACGCCUGCCCGGUGCUGGAAGGUUAAGGGGAAGUGUUAGAGCAAUCGAAGCACUGAACUUAAGCCCCAGUAAACGGCGGCCGUAACUAUAACGGUCCUAAGGUAGCGAAAUUCCUUGUCAGGUAAGUUCU